GCUGAAAGAUGACAGUGAUUUAUCAUUCUUUAAAACCAUUUUUUAAGAUGCUGAAGCUCUGCUUCAAGAAAGAUAAAACUGUCACUGUGGUGUUGUAAGCUGCAGCUAGCUCAGAUACACAAAGGAAAUUGCAUUAGAUUUACCCAUCUCUAUUUUCUCAUCUUGUAUAGCAAGAUUCUUCAACAGCAAGUGAUCUAACCUGUCAAAUAUUAUGCAAUAGAUGAAUUUCCUGUCAUUGGUCAGUUCAAGAACUAUUUAACAGAGAAGUCCCAUGACCAGGGACCUCUGCAUUUAUUCUCUGGAAUCAGGACCCCUUGCAUUCUUUGCAAGUGUUCAUAGAGGAAGAAAAAUGAUUUUUUUUUCAGGUAUCUGUCUUCAGAUACAGACAGAAACUAGCAAGAGAGCUAUAGUAAGAAAGGAGGAGGAGAGGCCAGAGGAUUUGGAAGCUGACAAGGGAGAGGUAGCUGAGGCCUGAAUGUGGGGGAUGAUGCUUAGGCUUGGGUAGGAGGAAUGGGAGUCAAAGGGUGAGAGAUGCCCAGAGGCCAGCAGGCAAGAGGGCAGUAGAGAAAGG
rnacentral:lncRNA from 1 species